CCUACGGGAGGCAGCAGUGAGGAAUAUUGGUCAAUGGACGAGAGUCUGAACCAGCCAAGUAGCGUGAAGGAUGACUGCCCUAUGGGUUGUAAACUUCUUUUAUAAAGGAAUAAAACGAGGCACGUGUGCCUUUUUGCAUGUACUUUAUGAAUAAGGAUCGGCUAACUCCGUGCCAGCAGCCGCGGUAAUACGGAGGAUCCGAGCGUUAUCCGGAUUUAUUGGGUUUAAAGGGAGCGUAGAUGGGUUGUUAAGUCAGUUGUGAAAGUUUGCGGCUCAACCGUAAAAUUGCAAUUGAUACUGGCAGUCGUGAGUACAGUUGAGGUAGGCGGAAUUCGUGGUGUAGCGGUGAAAUGCUUAGAUAGCACGAAGAACCCCGAUUGCGAAGGCAGCUUACUAAACUGUGACUGACAUUGAUGCUCGAAAGUGUGGGUAUCAAACAGGAUUAGAUACCCGGGUAGUC
rnacentral:rRNA from 1 species